rnacentral:rRNA from 1 species
GACGAACGCUGGCGGCGUGCCUAAUACAUGCAAGUAGAACGCUGAAGGAGGAGCUUGCUUCUCUGGAUGAGUUGCGAACGGGUGAGUAACGCGUAGGUAACCUGCCUGGUAGCGGGGGAUAACUUUUGGAAACGAUAGCUAAUACCGCAUAAUAGUAGAUGUGCCAUGACAUUUGCUUAAAAGUUGCAAUUGCAUCACUACCAGAUGGACCUGCGUUGUAUUAGCUAGUUGGUGGGGUAACGGCUCACCAAGGCGACGAUACAUAGCCGACCUGAGAGGGUGAUCGGCCACACUGGGACUGAGACACGGCCCAGACGCCUACGGGAGGCAGCAGUAGGGAAUCUUCGGCAAUGGACGGAAGUCUGACCGAGCAACGCCGCGUGAGUGAAGAAGGGUUUCGGAUCGUAAAGCUCUGUUGUAAGAGAAGAACGAGUGUGAGAGUGGAAAGUUCACACUGUGACGGUAUCUUACCAGAAAGGGACGGCUAACUACGUG